CGGCUGCCGCAGGACCUGCAGCAUCCCAGAGAGGUUUUUCCAGAGCUUCUCAGAUGCUCUAAUCGACCAGGACCCCCAGGCGGCGUUAGAGGAGCUGACUAAGGCUUUGGAACAGAAACCAGAUGAUACACAAUAUUAUUGUCAAAGAGCUUUGCUGUUGCUGAUGUAAAGAAGUCUCGUGAACUCAAUCCAAAUAAUUCCACUGCUGUGCUGAGAAAAGGGAUAUGUGAAUACCAUUAAAAAAAACUAUGCUGCUUCUCUAGAAA
rnacentral:lncRNA from 1 species